rnacentral:misc_RNA from 1 species
AAUUCUCAACCUUUAUUAGCUUUUGCUGAUACUGGCUUGGAUGUGGGGGUGCUGGCUCCUUUGUCAGCUCCCCUUAAAUGCAUUAGCUGGUGCCCCGUGUGGACUUGUCUAUUGGCGUGAUAAUUAUCUACGCUGUGGAUGGUCUGCUUUAGCACUGCUUCUAACCGUCUGUUCAUUCGGACAAUACAAUGACA